rnacentral:rRNA from 1 species
GACAGAGGGUGCAAACGUUGUUCGGAAUUACUGGGCGUAAAGCGAGUGUAGGCGGUUUCUUAAGUCGGAUGUGAAAGCCCAGGGCUCAACCCUGGAAGUGCACUCGAUACUGCGAGGCUAGAGUACUGGAGAGGUUGGUGGAAUUCUCGGUGUAGAGGUGAAAUUCGUAGAUAUCGAGAGGAACACCGGUGGCGAAGGCGGCCAACUGGACAGAUACUGACGCUGAGACUCGAAAGCGUGGGGAGCAAACAGG